rnacentral:rRNA from 1 species
GAUGAACGCUGGCGGCGUGCCUAGUACAUGCAAGUCGAGCGAACAGACGAGGAGCUUGCUCCUCUUACGUUAGCGGCGGACGGGUGAGUAACACGUGGAUAACCUACCUAUAAGACUGGGAUAACUUCGGGAAACCGGAGCUAAUACCGGAUAAUAUAUUGAACCGCAUGGUUCAAUAGUGAACGACGGUUUUGCUGUCACUUAUAGAUAGAUCCGCGCCGCAUUAGCUAGUUGGUAAGGUAACGGCUUACCAAGGCAACGAUGCGUAGCCGACCUGAGAGGGUGAUCGGCCACACUGGAACUGAGACACGGUCCAGACUCCUACGGGAGGCAGCAGUAGGGAAUCUUCCGCAAUGGGCGAAAGCCUGACGGAGCAACGCCGCGUGAGUGAUGAAGGUCUUCGGAUCGUAAAACUCUGUUAUUAGGGAAGAACAAAUGUGUAAGUAACUAUGCACGUCUUGACGGUACCUAAUCAGAAAGCCACGGCUAACUACGUG